GGCCGGAUAGCUCAGUCGGUAGAGCCGCGGAACGGUAUUCCGAAGGUCCCGGGUUCGAUUCCCGGUCAGGCUG